rnacentral:rRNA from 1 species
UGGGGAAUUUUGGACAAUGGGCGAAAGCCUGAUCCAGCAAUGCUGCGUGUGUGAAGAAGGCCUUCGGGUUGUAAAGCACUUUUGUCCGGAAAGAAAUCCUUGGCUCUAAUACAGUCGGGGAUGACGGUACCGGAAGAAUAAGCACCGGCUAACUACGUGCCAGCAGCCGCGGUAAUACGUAGGGUGCAAGCGUUAAUCGGAAUUACUGGGCGUAAAGCGUGCGCAGGCGGUUUGCUAAGACCGAUGUGAAAUCCCCGGGCUCAACCUGGGAACUGCAUUGGUGACUGGCAGGCUAGAGUAUGGCAGAGGGGGGUAGAAUUCCACGUGUAGCAGUGAAAUGGCGUAGAGAUGUGGAGGAAUACCGAUGGCGAAGGCAGCCCCCUGGGCCAAUACUGACGCUCAUGCACGAAAGCGUGGGGAGCAAAACAGGAUUAGAUACCCUGGUAGUCCACGCCCUAAACGAUGUCAACUAGUUGUUGGGGAUUCAUUUCCUUAGUAACGUAGCUAACGCGUGAAGUU